GCCUCUGAGCCCGGACGGACGGUAUGUCCUUACAGCCCGUAACUUCUUUUCAGCGAUUCAAUGAGAUUUCAUUUUAUAAAGUUGUAUGAAAUUUUUCGUCUUUGUAACACACCGGGUCAUCUCUCAACGACCUCGGCGUGUGCCUCACAUUCGCAUCGGUGGAGUCAAAUUUUAAACUUUUUGGAGGUCGAAAAAUCGCGCGUUUUAGAUGGAGUUCUCCGCUCGAUAUGGCAACAUCGAUUGUUUGGAAGUGGCGGUCAAUGCUACGACGACAUGGGAGCAAAGUCGUCGGGCAAGACGAUUCCGUUCGCCGCGAGUGAUAAUCAGAGGGAGCAGCCCGCGAACCGGCAAACAGGCCCCGGUGCACUUUGAAUCGGGCCAAUCGCGGACUUCGGAGUUGCGGCCAUUCAUGAAAUCCCGCCAAGCGCCAAAGCAAACAUCAGCGUCAACAGUCUACGACGACGCGACGGCCCGCGCGCGCUUCAAGCCGUUCCGCAAAAAACAACGGAGCGUGAACGUGAGGGAGGGUGCGUCAACGUGAUUCCGCCCGAUUAGAGUACCUUUAUAGACAGAGUUGAGAGUACUCUACGCCCGAUCGUCACGCUGCAGUGUUAAGGAAAAACCAAAUGUUCAUGAGACGAUCAACGAUGCAAAAAUAGCCCAGGGAACGCGAUAUCAGAGACAAAACACCUCUUACUAGACGAUCAGCGAUGAAUAAGCUAGCGCCCAUACGAACGAGGCACAUUCGAUCAUGGCCCAGCCGAAAAAUCGAUUACACUCUGGCUCAGGAGGUCAAAGGGACGGUAACAGUUCGAGUGGACGCCGAUUGGGCUCCUUUAAAGGGUCUUUUCGUAAAAUGAUGAGUGGCUUAAGAAUAUCAAGAUCAGGUAGGAGGGACCCCACCCCUUCGUCUCCUAGAGCUUCGUCAAGAUCACCAUCCCCAUCACGAUUUCAGGCAGUUGAACUUGGAACUUUAGACCCUGUUUUAUCCACGAGCGGUUACAGGUCGGAUGAUACGCAUUCAGAGACUUCAGAGACGCAAAGAACUUCAGGUCUUCGUCGAGACAGCAAUAGAACGUCUCCGUCUAGAGCUGCGUCAAGAUUACCAUCCCCAGCACGACUUCAGGCACCUACAGUUGGAGAAAUAGGCACGGAUGACAUCCUUCUUCGUCUUCAGAUUGUUCCAAUUGAUGUAAUGCCUGAUGUUGGCGUGAAAAAGGGUGCUGAAGUCACCGUCGACCCACAACCUCAGGAGGAGACCUUGCAACUUUUCACAACGGAAAAAAACUACAAUCGCGUCACAUUACUCAACGCACUCAGAUGGGUCAAUUACCAUUUGUAUGACACAGUAGCAGGGCCGCCAUUGCUUCUGGAAAUAAGUUUUAGCAGGUUCCCUCGGCCACAACGCAAGAUGCGAUGGAUACGGAGGACAGCUUUUGGAGCCCCAAAUAUUGAUUCGAGCAUCCUGAUAAGAAAAUUACCGCAGAGCUUUGAUUCAUUAAAUACCUGGUUGUAUCAAGAAUGUGUUCGAAUUAAUAUAGAACGCGCGCAUAGCUACGUACCGAUGCCGCCCCCUCUACCCUUGCCGGAUUCGGAAGACGUCCCGGAAUCAUCCCGGGCAAGAUAUAACUCAGACUCCGACUCGGAUGGUACGCCCAGUGACAUAUCUCUUGAAACUAUCAGAAGACUAAUCCGCCCCUGA
rnacentral:lncRNA from 1 species